UACGGGGGGGGCAAGCGUUGUUCGGAAUUACUGGGCGUAAAGGGCUCGUAGGUGGCCAACUAAGUCAGACGUGAAAUCCCUCGGCUUAACCGGGGAACUGCGUCUGAUACUGGAUGGCUAGAGAUUGGGAGAGGGAUGCGGAAUUCCAGGUGUAGCGGUGAAAUGCGCAGAUAUCAGGAGGAACACCAGUGGCGAAGGCGGUGCUCUGGGCCGGAACUGACGCUGAGGAGCGAAAGCGUGGGGAGCAAACAGG
rnacentral:rRNA from 1 species